rnacentral:rRNA from 1 species
AGUGAACGCUGGCGGUAGGCCUAACACAUGCAAGUCGAACGGCAGCACAGUAAGAGCUUGCUCUUACGGGUGGCGAGUGGCGGACGGGUGAGGAAUACAUCGGAAUCUACUUUUUUGUGGGGGAUAACGUAGGGAAACUUACGCUAAUACCGCAUACGACCUACGGGUGAAAGCAGGGGAUCUUCGGACCUUGCGCGAUUGAAUGAGCCGAUGUCGGAUUAGCUAGUUGGCGGGGUAAAGGCCCACCAAGGCGACGAUCCGUAGCUGGUCUGAGAGGAUGAUCAGCCACACUGGAACUGGGACACGGUCCAGACUCCUACGGGAGGCAGCAGUGGGGAAUAUUGGACAAUGGGCGCAAGCCUGAUCCAGCCAUACCGCGUGGGUGAAGAAGGCCUUCGGGUUGUAAAGCCCUUUUGUUGGGAAAGAAAAGCAGCAGGUUAAUACCCCGCUGUUCUGACGGUACCCAAAGAAUAAGCACCGGCUAACUUCGUG